UUGACUAUACUUGAACAGGAUCUGUUUUACAGUGCGUACAUCCGAUCUGUGUUCACCGUCGCAGACAUGACCUUCUACUUGGACGAAGAUGUAGUUCUCUCCGACUUGAGCGAGAUUUCCGCGGCUUGUGCCAGUGUGCCCUCUUGCGGGCCCGGUCGCCAGCCAGCUAGAUGAAUGUCCCGCCCCCUCACUAAUGGGGACGGUGAUGGACGGAGAGCGUUCUGACGGGC
rfam:Physcomitrella patens subsp. patens PHYPAscaffold_389 genomic scaffold, whole genome shotgun sequence.